GCCCGUAGACGUAGGCUUUUCAGCCGAACCACGUAAAUCCUAUGUUUGUUUUUCUUCUAUUCUCUAUUCUGUGUGAUUAUACGAAUCUGUGUGUGCCCUAUUUUUGUGCUUGCUGUAACAAAGAGGUUUCUAAUUAGGGAGAGGAAUGAAUGUCUCCUCUCCCAUCAUCUCCCUGUAUGCAUUAAUGCAUGGUGGUUAUCAUCUUUGAUGCAUGUAUUGAUCAUUUCACUACAUAUAUGUAGUCUAAUUCUGAAUAAUUGUUUUUUCUUUUGCAGCCAUUCAAUAAAGAUCCAUGGCUUAGUAUACUUUGACCC
rnacentral:lncRNA from 1 species